rnacentral:rRNA from 1 species
UGGGGAAUUUUGCACAAUGGGGGAAACCCUGAUGCAGCGACGCCGCGUGAUUUAGAAGGCCUUCGGGUUGUAAAAAUCUUUUCUAUGGGAAGAAAAUGACAGUACCAUAGGAAUAAGGACCGGCUAAUUACGUGCCAGCAGCCGCGGUAAUACGUAAGGUCCGAGCGUUGUCCGGAAUCAUUGGGCGUAAAGGGUACGUAGGCGGGUAAGCAAGUUAGAAGUGAAAUCCUGUAGCUCAACUACAGUAAGCUUUUAAAACUGCUCAUCUUGAGAUAUGGAAGGGAAAGUGGAAUUCCUAGUGUAGCGGUGAAAUGCGCAGAUAUUAGGAGGAAUACCGGUGGCGAAGGCGACUUUCUGGCCAGAAUCUGACGCUGAGGUACGAAAGCGUGGGUAGCAAACAGG